rnacentral:rRNA from 1 species
CCUACGGGAGGCUGCAGUGGGGAAUAUUCGGCAAUGGGCGCAAGCCUGACCCAGCAACGCCGCGUGAAGGAAGAAGGCUUUCGGGUUGUAAACUUCUGUUAUGAGGGAAGAGCAGAAGACGGUACCUCUUGAAUAAGCCACGGCUAACUACGUGCCAGCAGCCGCGGUAAUACGUAGGUGGCAAGCGUUGUCCGGAUUUACUGGGUGUAAAGGGCGUGUAGCCGGGCUGACAAGUCAGAUGUGAAAUCCCGUGGCUCAACCACGGAACUGCAUUUGAAACUGUCGGUCUUGAGUAUCGGAGAGGCAGGCGGAAUUCCUAGUGUAGCGGUGAAAUGCGUAGAUAUUAGGAGGAACACCAGUGGCGAAGGUGGCCUGCUGGACGACAACUGACGGUGAGGCGCGAAAGCGUGGGGAGCAAACAGGAUUAGAUACCCGAGUAGUC